rnacentral:tRNA from 1 species
AGGGGGAUAGCUCAGUGGUAGAGUGUGUGCUUAGCAUGCAUGAGGUCCUUGGUUCAAUCCCCAGCACCUCCA